GUUGUAAGGGGCAUGUCACUGUUUUCUGCAUGAUUUCUCAUCCCGCCUCCCUUUCCUUUACAGGGCUGUAUGUGCAGGACAUGGCUGACCUGGAUACGGCCAAGCUGUACUCAGGGCUCCUUGGGGUAGGGGAUGAGAUCCUGGAGAUGAACGGGGCCAAGGUUGCUGGGCUGGGCUUGGCUCACAUCAACGAGCUGCUGGUGCGUGUGGAGAGCUUGUCGAUUCGUGUCUUGAGACAACGGCCUGUCCCCCAGUGACCCAGAAGUACUGCUGUUCUUGCUGAUGCUCCUUCAGGACCCCUGACCCACACACACAGUAGGAGGGGCUAGAAACGUGCCACCCAGAGAUACCAUGAAUGUAAAAUGCAGUUCACAGAUCAGCCUCUGUCUGGGUGUGGCAGAAGCUGUUCUGAUGGGCCACCUGUAGGAAGAGGUACCUGUGCCCAUUCAGGAUACUAAUUUAUACAGGUCUGGGGACAGGGAAUACUGGUUUCUUCCUUCACAGAAGUUGCCAUGUUCCUUUGUUGGAGCUAGAGAGGACAGCAACUGACUAAUCCUUGAGUUGGCCCUUGAAAGCUGGCCCUUGAGAGCCAGCUUCAGCUUUUGGCCACACUCGCUGAAAAGGCUCCCCAGCCCCCAGCACACCAGACACAGCGUGGCCACAUUGGCUUUGCGCCCCAUCUCUUUCAGCCGUAGCUUGCUUGGUUCCCAUAUGACACUUUGCUUCUGAUCCAGAAAGGGCUCAGUGUCUUGGCACAGCCUGACAGCCAGGAGCACACAUUCCUAACUGUGUGUUCUGUGAAGUAUGGCCUGUCAGGAGCUCUGUGCCCCUUCUGGGUAUGCGAACUUCUGAAAGAAUCUGGGAGCCAGAGUAUUAAGAAUUACUAGGAAUUUUUACGACCAACACAAAGUUGAAAAAUGAAACUAUUGCCAUUUGCAGCAAGUAUGGCCAUGGUACGAAGGAUGUGGGGGGUCAGCCCAGCCCACUCUUUGCCUCCACCCCUGCCUAGUUGUGGCCUGGCCUGGGCGGGCCUUGGUCUUUGUUCUCUUGUCCAGCUUGGAGACAGGGCUGCAGCUGGUGUCUGGCUGUCCCCCAGCUGCAGGGUUUCUAUCCAGACCUCCCUGGUGGCAGCUGUGGGUGGGCAGCAGGUAGGGAGGCUGUGAGCGGGGGGUGGGGGGUGGCCAUCCCACCUAGGCAUAGGGCAGUCUGCUCAGCUCAGACGCUGCUCAAGGGUUCAGGACUCUAGAUGCCUGGACAGGUGUCAGUCUUAAAUUAUUAAAAAGCCAAAGCUGCUUCCACUGG
rnacentral:lncRNA from 1 species